rnacentral:rRNA from 1 species
UACGUAGGUGACGAGCGUUAUCCGGAAUUACUGGGCGUAAAGCGCACGCAAGCGGUUGGACAAGUCUGGCGUGAAAUCUUCUGGCUUAACCAGGAGCGGUCGCUGGAGACUGUUCGGCUUGAGGCGAUGAGAGGGGUGCAGAAUUCCCGGUGUAGUGGUGGAAUGCGUAGAGAUCGGGAGGAAUACCAGUGGCGAAAGCGGCACCCUGGCGUCGUACUGACGCUCAUGUGCGAAAGCGUGGGGAGCGAACGGG